rnacentral:rRNA from 1 species
GAACUGAAGAGUUUGAUCCUGGCUCAGAUUGAACGCUGGCGGCAUGCCUUACACAUGCAAGUCGAACGGCAGCGCGGGGGCAACCCUGGCGGCGAGUGGCGAACGGGUGAGU